rnacentral:rRNA from 1 species
GACGAGUCUGACGAACGUUAUUCGGAAUUACUGGGCUUAAAGGGUGCGUAGGCGGUAUGGUAAGUCGGAUGUGAAAUACCUUAGCUUAACUAGGGAACUGCACUCGAUACUACCGUGCUAGAGUAAGACAGAGGUGAGUGGAACUGAGGGUGGAGCGGUGAAAUGCGUUGAUAUCCUCAGGAACACCGGUGGCGAAGGCGACUCACUGGGUCUUUACUGACGCUGAUGCACGAAAGCUAGGGUAGCAAACGGG